rnacentral:rRNA from 1 species
UACAGAGGGUGCGAGCGUUAAUCGGAUUUACUGGGCGUAAAGCGUGCGUAGGCGGCUAAUUGAGUCGGAUGUGAAAUCCCCGAGCUUAACUUGGGAAUUGCAUUCGAUACUGGUUAGCUAGAGUGUGGGAGAGGAUGGUAGAAUUCCAGGUGUAGCGGUGAAAUGCGUAGAGAUCUGGAGGAAUACCGAUGGCGAAGGCAGCCAUCUGGCCUAACACUGACGCUGAGGUACGAAAGCAUGGGGAGCAAACAGGAUUAGAUACCCUGGUAGUCCAUGCCGUAAACGAUGUCUACUAGCCGUUGGUCUCUUUGAGGGAUUAGUGGCGCAGCUAACGCGAUAAGUAGACCGCCUGGGGAGUACGGUCGCAAGACUAAA